AACCAAAUAAAUAAAUAAAUAAAUAAAUAAAUAAAUAAAUAAAUAAAAAGAAAGGGAAUUUGAGAUUUGAGGCCAGACUCAGCUACAUGAGACCCUGACCUCCAAACCCUGAUAAAUAUCCAAUUUCAACUCAUUUCAAUAAAUACAUAAGGGUUCACAUUGAAUUCCUCCUUUCCUUGGACUCUAACAGAAAGGCAAUCCCAGCCUGUCACACAGUGGUUCUCCCUCCUUUUCAAUGGGCAGGCCUAACCACGGACACUUCCCCCUACACCACCACCCUGAGGACAGUGUUUGGGACCAGAUCUCCCUCCCUCCACUGUUAGGUCACUCUCAGCACCUUGGAAACUCUUCUUUGGUCACAAUGAAUCCCAGCAAGGCCGCAGAGCCUCUGGCAGGUCUCCUCCAGGGCUGCCACACUGUCCACAUGGGUUGGGAGUGGUGUGGGGGGCUGAUGGUCUCAGGGCCCUCAAUCAGGGAGUGGAAUUUGAUUUCACAUGAAAAGAAAAAAGAAAUCUAGCUGGCUCCGAAAGAGAGGCUCUGGACACAGCCAGGCUCCAGUUCCACAGAGACCUCGGCAAGGAGGGCCCAUCUUCUCCGCACUGUCUUGUAGGCCUUCAGCUCCAGGAGUUCAGCUCUGUAUCCCGUUAGGCCACUCUCCAGUGUACAACAUCCAGUAGCAGGAAGAAGUGGAGCAGAGUUUGACAUCCAGGCAGCGUGGACUCGGUCCAGAGACAGAGAAAGGUGAUCUGCUACCAUCAGGUGAGGAUGGAAGAAGAUCAGCAUUCGGAGAGUUCAAAAUCACCCCAAAAGAAAACAAAACUAGCUGAAAUCAAGAAAAAGAAACGUGUUAGGUUUCUCUUGCCUCACCAAACUGAGAGAAAAAGAAGACCCUCCUCCCCUCAAGAUGUAGAUCAGGAGAUCUUCAAAUGUGAAUGCUGCUACUGUCAGAAGGAUGUGGGGAACAUGUCUGGGGUCUCCAUGGGAAUGGGGACCACGACAGAAGCAGCCUCUCAUUCACCCUCCUGUGAAAACCUGAUACUAGACCUCAGUAACUUGUCACUCAACCCUGAUGCCACCCAGCCCCCUCUUGCGCAAGAAAUACAAAAGAGAGAAAAGAACAAAACGCACUGGCAGCAGAAAAACAAAAAGAUGUAUCAAAUGCUUCUCCACGAAUGGACAGAAUAACUCUGGCAUUGUUAUCCUCAUGUGAAGAUCAGAACCCACGGGAUCAUGAAUGUCAACAUCACCAAACCCUGGGGUGAAAUCUUUUUGGGAGCAUGGUCAAAAGGAGUAAAAAUGUCCAGCCUGAUGACAAUAAUACCUUCAGAUGGCGAGUUUCAAACCUCUUCCAGAAAUGUAACAGUCGUUUUCUUAGUGGUUUUGGCAUCCCCUCUGGGGCAUUCUGGGAACAGAUGCUCCUUGGCUAGGGCAACCAGAUAGCGAUGGUUCUGUACUCCCCAUGCUGUUGUUCCCAUGGGGCCAUCUACCAUUUUCCCCUCCUCGGGUCUCGGCUUUUCCUCCUUUACUUUGUUGCCAAUAAAGUUAAAACAUCGAUGUA